UAAGGAAUAUUGGUCAAUGGACGCAAGUCUGAACCAGCCAUGCCGCGUGAAGGAUGAAGGUCCUCUGGAUUGUAAACUUCUUUUAUCUGGGACGAAAACGGGAUUUUUAUCUCAAUUGACGGUACCAGAGGAAUAAGCACCGGCUACCUCCGUGCCAGCAGCCGCGGUAAUACGGAGGGUGCGAGCGUUAUCCGGAUUUACUGGGUUUAAAGGGUGCGUAGGUGGGCUUAUAAGUCAGUGGUGAAAUCUCCGAGCUUAACUUGGAAACUGCCGUUGAUACUAUAGGUCUUGAAUUAUCUGGAGGUAAGCGGAAUAUGUCAUGUAGCGGUGAAAUGCUUAGAUAGGACAUAGAACACCAAUUGCGAAGGCAGCUUACUACAUAUAAAUUGACGCUGAGGCACGAAAGCGUGGGGAUCAAACA
rnacentral:rRNA from 1 species